UCUGUCCUGAAAGGGCACAGUAGGGACAACUCCACUCUACUCUGUGUGGUUCAGUGGCUCACCCGAGACAACUCAAAUGGCUGGGGGCCGGGACACCUGCUGCUGGUGGAUCCACUUCCAAGAUGGCUUCUGCAUUCGCAUGGCUGGUGCCUGGGCUGGGCUGGCUGGAAGGCUGGAACUGUCAACCAGUGCACCCCCAUGUGACUCCUCAUGGAGCUUGGGCUUCCUCACAGCAUGGAAGUCUCAGGUUGUUGAACUUCCUUCUUAGAUGGCAACUUAGGACUCCAAGUUAUAAGCCAUAUGGUCUUUUAUGAGUGAGCCUUGGAAGUUACCCAACAACACUUCUGCCGCAUUGUCUUGGCUGAAGUAGUCACAAGCCCACCUGGAUUCAAGAGGAGAGGCCAUAGGGCCCACGCUUCAAUGGGAGAAGGACCAAGGACUUUGCAGCCAUAUUUAACACUGCCACACUAGCCUCCAAUUUCCUCCUUUCCUCUCUGAAAAUUCUGCCAUCUGCCAAAGUUGGGCUUAAAUUCCAAGCCAGAAAAACUUCCUGCUAAUUCCUAUCCCCAGUAACACUUCCUGCCCACCGCUGCAUUCUUGGUUAUGGUUGCUCUAAUAAGUAAUGGGGACAGUCAUGAAUGUGAUGCCCCUCACUUGGCAACCAUGCCCAUGUGUUCACACAUGUAUAUUCUUCUUUGGUUCUUAGAGUAAUCCUGUGAGGCAUUUUAGAUGAGCGAGUGGGCAUCUCACAUGGAGUUUUGCGGGGUGAGUAGGAGUUUUCCUGACAGACAGGGUUUGAGGAAAAGUAUGAUGAGCUUGGGCACAUGUACAGUUGGGUGGGGCUGGAGGACAGUGUCACUGACUUGAGGCAAGAGGCUUCUCUGUGGAGAAGUGCUCCACACAGUCCUCUGUUUUAGGAAGACUCCUCUGGCCCAGACAGUGUGAAGGCUGGAAGCUGGCCUGGGGGAGCUGGCACUGAGGCUCAUUCAUGGACCCCCACAAGUGCCUGUCUGCCUGUGCCUCCUACGUGGUUUCACGAGUCCUUUCAACCAUUAUCUGGGUGGGCAUUGUCAACCCAUUUUACAGAUGAGAAAGCCGGGCUGGGCGCAGUGGCUCAUGCCUGUAAUCCCAGCACUUUGGGAAGCUGAGGCGGGCAGAUCACUUGAGCUGAGUUUGAGACCAGUAUGGGCAACAUAGGGAGACCCUGUCGCUACAAAAAUGAACCAACAAACAAAAAUUAGCCAGGCAUGGUGGUGUGCACCUGUGGUCCCAGCUACUCGAGAGACUGAGGCGGGAGGAUUGCUUGAGCCCAGGAGGUAGAGGUUGCAGUGAGCCAUGAUCGCACCACAGCACUCCAGCCUGGGUGACAGAGAAAGACCCUAUCUACAAAACACACACACACACACACACACACACACAAAACAGAUGAGAAAACUGAGGCACCAAGAGGUGUUUCUGGAAUCCAAACUUGGCAGGAAGGCUAGGAGCAGGGUUGGGAGCUGCCCUUGUCUCCUCCACAGGCAGGAAGCUUGUCCUCCCUCUCCAGCACCUCAGCUGCCCCUGCCACCCCCACCCCUCUCAGCCCUGACCCUGUGGUCCAGAAAGGCCUCUGGAGGCCAGCUGUGGGUGGCAGGGCCUCUGGCUUACACCAGCGGGCAGCAGGGAGUGUAGUCACCUGCUCACUCGUGUCUGGUGCUCUUUGUGGCUAUAGGAAGCAGAGGACAGGUGCUGGGAGGAGGGCUGGCCUGAGGGGAAACUGAGGCCUGGGACUGCGGGGUCAGGGCUUGGUCUCUGCCACUGAGUUUGCACCUGGCUUCCCCUCAUGCCUGGCCAUUUGGUUCCGGCUCUUGAAAUAGAUCCUCUGCCCACCUGGUAGCUGGCCGGCCAUGGGCCGUGCCACGCCACCUGCCUGCUGCAGCCCAGCCCGGUCACCCCGAAACGCUGACAAAAGCCAGCUGCUCUCCCAGCAGUCGCUCGGCAGGCAGACACCCGGAGGCGUGACGCCUGCCCUCGUCUGGCACCGAGGCUGCCAGGAGGGCGCUGACGCAGCUCUCCCCACUCCCACUCCCAGGGGCUCCGCAGCUCCUUUCUGGAAUGGCUUCCCGAUGAGGUAAUGCAGCUCGGAGCACAGGAGGAGGCCACUGGGAAACGCUGCUGGCCAGGCCCCAGCUCCCCGGGAAGAUGGCUGCCGUGGCCUCCCUGCCCUGCCUGCCCGACGCCACCGCACAAGGGCCUGGCAGGCUCACUAAAAUGGGACCUGGUGGCCGGGCACAGUGGCUCACGCCUGUAAUCCCAGCACUUUGGGAGGCCGAGGCGGGCGGAUUACCUGAGGUCAGGAGUUCUUGACCAGCCUGGCCAACGUGGUGAAACCUUGUCUCUACUGGACCUGGCUUCCUAACUGAGGGAAACUGAAGAGAAGGGCCCAGUUCACGGGAAUAAGGUGCCAGUUUGGGAUGCCCCUACCCUGGAGCAGGGACCCCAUCCCCUGCCUCUGUGAAUCCCUAGCAUUGGCCCAUGGUGUGAACACCAGCAGCCACAGCACUGAGACCUAGCCAGGGCUUCCCAGUUUCCUGGGCACCAGCUGUUCUUCGCAGCCUCUUCCAUGCUUGCUGGGAAGCAAGGUCUAUCAUGACCCUAGGCGCAGAAGGACAAGAAACAGAGAGGUUGAGUAAGAUGCCCGACGACACACAGCUGGAGUCAGCAGAGGCUGGAAGGGUGCUGGGCGGCCUGGCUCCCAGCACGAGGCAUCCUACCUGAGGACAGUAGACGGGCAGCUAAAGGACCCUCAGCUGACCACACAGGCCGGGCCUGGGCAUGUCUGCGGCAUGACCCCCUUGGGCCUUGUCACCUCCUCUCAUCCCCUAGAUCGCAGGACAGCAAGGUGGUCACACCCAGAUUGCCUGAGUGUGCAUUCUUUCCUUCCACGUCGGAGCACUUGGUCGGAAUCCUGCCCACACAGGAUGCACCUCACGAGGUGUUCACUCACCAGUCUCCCAGAGCAGAGGGGUCUGGGGAGAGGGGACACAAGAUGGCAUUGGGAGUGACAGCAAGACUGACUGUCUUGCGGGGCCCUCAGGCGCUGGCCUCCAAGGCCAGGUCCCCCAGGAAAAGCCUAGACAGAGGGGAGCAGGAAACCCGGUCCCAGCCCAGGGCGCCCACUCCCUGCCGGCCAGGCCAAGCCUCCCGCGUCCGGCCUCCUGGGUGCUGCUCACUCAUCCAUCAGACCAGUGUGAUGGGGUCAUUCGCUCCCAUUCCCAGGCGGGGGAGGCUCCAGGAGAUGUGGGUGGAUGUGGGUUUACCCUGUGGAUGGCCUGAGGCCUGAGGACUAGGAAGGUCCAUCUAUCUGUCCCUUGGCAGAUGGCCACAGUGCCCAGGGCGACAACAGGGUGAGCUCUGCUCACAUGGGUCCUGAUGCAGAUAGGGGGUGUCUGGGCCCCUGUCACCCCUGUGGAGUCUUCCUCGCCUUCCUCUGGGCGGGUCUUCUCAGGUCCAGCUCAAGGGCAUCUGGGAGGGGAGGUGGCCUGAAAGCUCGGAGGCCCUGCAAAGCUGGCUGCAGUUAGGAAAGCCACUAAGUCAUUAUUUUGGGGUUAAAUCAGAACUAAUCUACCCAAGCCAAUGGCUGGGUCCCCCUGAAGAUGCAAGCCUGGUGGCUGGAGCAUGUUCCAGUGAGGGACAGGCAAAGCUGCCAGGGCAAAGGGCGGAUUUCCUGAUACAGGAGUGGAGGAUGCUGUGGAAGGGCUGGAUCUCCCAUCCAAGGCGUCUCCUAGAGCCACACCAUGCCCCAUCCAGGGUGGUGCUAAUGCUUCUCCCCUGGGUCAACUGGGCCUGUGACCACCCCGUGAGUGGGUGGUGGAGGUGCCAUGUGAGCACUGGGCUGGGCUGGGAAAGCCCCUGCAUCUGCCUGGCUCUCCAGGGGUGCUGGCUGGUGGAGCUCAGAUGAUACCAAGUGAGGAAACCUUGAUUCUGGCCCAGCCCUGGAGCUCCCUCUAGCUGAGGCCCCCACUGGGGGGAACAGAAACCAGGCACUCCCACUAUGACCCAUGGAGCAUAAGAAAGUGGCUGUUGUCAGUGUCUAUGUUUUGGGGUAACUGGAGAAGCCCCAAGGCUUCCCUGGUCUCCCCUGAACUUCUGCUGUUGAUUUGCUUGUCUGCUUCUCCAACUGCCUGGCCCCCAGGCUCCUGAGCU
rnacentral:lncRNA from 10 species